CUACGGGAUGCUGCAGUCGCGGAACUUUUACAAUGCACGCAAGUGUGAUAAAGCGAACCAAAGUGUUUUUCGUUUAGAAAAACUUUUUCUUAGUGUAAAAAUCUAGGAGAAUAAGGACUGGGAAAGACUGGUGCCAGCCGCCGCGGUAAUACCAGCAGUCCAAGUUGCAUCCCUUUUUAUUGGGUCUAAAACAUCCGUAGCUUGCCGUUUAAGUCUCUUGUGAAAUCCUACGUCUCAAGCGUGGGGCUUGCAGGGGAUACUGAGCGGCUAGAGAUCGGUAGACGUAAGGAGUACGCCGGGGGUAAUGGUCAAAUAUGUUAAUCCUCGGUGGACUAACAAUGAGCGAAGGCACCUUACGAGGACGAAUCUGACAGUCAGGGAUGAAGGCCAGGGGCGCAAAACGGAUUAGAUACCCUGUAGUC
rnacentral:rRNA from 1 species